rnacentral:rRNA from 1 species
GGACCGUCGCAAGACGAACGGAUGCGAAAGCGUUUGCCAAGAAUGUUUUCGCUAAUCAAGAACGAAAGUUAGAGGUUCGAAGGCGAUCAGAUACCGCCCUAGUUCUAACCAUAAACGAUGCCAGCCAGCGAUGCGCCGAAGUUCCUCCGAUGACUCGGCGCGAAGCCUCCGGGAAACCAAAGCUUUUGGGUUCCGGGGGAAGUAUGGUUGCAAAGCUGAAACUUAAAGGAAUUGACGGAAGGGCACCACCAGGAGUGGAGCCUGCGGCUUAAUUUGACUCAACACGGGAAACCUCACCAGGCCAGGACAUUGGAAGGAUUGACAGAUUGAGAGCUCUUUCUUGAUUCGAUGGGUGGUGGUGCAUGGCCGUUCUUAGUUGGUGGAGCGAUUUGUCUGGUUAAUUCCGAUAACGAACGAGACUCUCACCUGUUAAAUAGGCGCGGGGAUCUCAACGCUGAACGCGUAGCAAUCUUCUUAGAGGGACAAGCGGCUCCUAGCCGCACGAGAUUGAGCAAUAACAGGUCUGUGAUGCCCUUAGAUGUCCUGGGCCGCACGCGCGCUACACUGAAGGAAUCAGCGUGUGGUCCCUGCCCGAGAGGGCCGGGUAACCCGCUGAACCUCCUUCGUGCUUGGGAUUGGGGCUUGCAAUUGUUCCCCAUGAACGAGGAAUUCCCAGUAAGCGCGAGUCAUAAGCUCGCGUUGAUUACGUCCCUGCCCUUUGUACACACCGCCCGUCGCUACUACCGAUUGAAUGAUUUAGUGAGGUCUUCGGACUGGUCGACGGGGCCCCGCUCGCGGGGCUCCGCUGCGCCGGAAAGAUGACCAAACUUGAUCAUUUAGAGGAAGUAAAAGUCGUACA